rnacentral:rRNA from 1 species
GAUGAACGCUGGCGGCGUGCUUAACACAUGCAAGUCGAACGGAAAGGCCCUGCUUUUGUGGGGUGCUCGCGUGGCGAACGGGUGUGAAACACGUGAGUAUCCCGCCCUUGUCUUUGGGAUAACUUCAGGAAACUGCGGAUAAUACAGGAUAGGAGCUCCUGCAGCAUGGUGGGGGUUGGAAAGAUUCGGCGGUUGGGGAUCGACUGGCGGCUUAACAGCUGGUUGGGGGGGUAGUGGCUUACCAAGGCUUUGACGGGUAGCCGGCCUGAGAGGGUGACCGGCCACAUGGGGACUGAGGGACGGCCCAGACUGCUACGGGAGGCAGCAGUGGGAAAUAUUGCACAAGGGGCGGAAGCCUGAUGCAGCAACGCCGCGUGCGGGAUGACGGCCUUCGGGUGGUAAACCGCAUUCGCCUGUGACGAAGCGUGUGUGACGGUAAUGGGUAAAGAAGCACCGGCUAACUACGUG